ensembl:lncRNA
CUGCUCUCCAAAUUGUACUACUCAGGAAAAAUACUGGAGGUUUAACCCUCUCAGCAUGCCUCUAUAACUCUGGUAUUUUGGAAUAAAAGGAAGAAUUCGAUAAUGGAAUUGGUGGUGCUUUCUCUUUUGUGAUUGGCUGUGGAAGAACCUGCUAUUGCACCAAUUCCCUCCAUCUGUGAGCCCGUGAGGUGAGUUUCUAAGGCCCUUCUGAAAUCAAGUAGGAGCUAAGGCUACGUUGUUCCACAAAGCAUAGCAUGGGUCUUCUAAGAAGGCACCACAGAAGUCUCAAUCCAAUUCUUGAGGAAAUCAAUGGAAGUUUGAUUGGAGCCAUAGAAAGCCAUGAAGGGAAUUUCAAGAG